GACAAGGCAACCAAUAUUUGUGCAACUCUUACAAUCCGCGUUCAGGGUAUCACAAUGUCCUUGGCUAGCUCCAUCACAGCGAUUUGUAGUUGAAAAUUGUAUUCGUACACUAUCAGAAGUUGCCAAGAAUAGAGGAAUUGCCAUACCUUUGGAUCUAGAAGGUCAAGUGACUGCAAUGUUUAAUAAAGCUACUAUUUUAACUCGUCAAACCAGUAAAUGGUUACAGGCUUCAAAAACACCAAAAAUGGAAAGAUCUCAAUCUCAACUUAUGCGGCUGGACAGAAGUAUAAUUGAAGGUCUUCAAGAUAUAGUUUCUGUAUUAGAAGAUCAGUUGAAACCAUUAGUGCAGUCGGAACUUUCUUUGUUGGUGGAUGUUUUAUACAGACCUGAACUAUUGUUUCCUCCAGAAACUGAGCCUAGAAAGAAAUGUGAAAGUGGUGGAUUCAUUCGAAGGUACAGUUGUUUUCAUUCA